rfam:Schistosoma mansoni strain Puerto Rico chromosome 3, complete genome
AUCCAGCUGACGAGUCGGAAAUAGGACGAAACGUGCGUCAAACUGGAU